AAUAAACCAAUUUUUCACUUUUUACCUAUAAUUUUUUAUUCUUCGUCUUAUUUAAAUUUUUUUUACGAUUGAUAUUUUUGUUUUUAUUAGAUGAUAAAUUAUGAAUAGUACUUUAUGUGUGACUAAUUUUUUUUUAAUUUCCUAAAAAUUUUUCAAAUAAAACAAAACGGUCAAACGUUGAACACGAAUAUCAGAG
rnacentral:pre_miRNA from 1 species